rnacentral:rRNA from 1 species
UACGGAGGGUGCAAGCGUUAUCCGGAUUCACUGGGUUUAAAGGGUGCGUAGGUGGAUUAGUAAGUCAGUGGUGAAAUCUCCGGGCUUAACCCGGAAACUGCCAUUGAUACUAUUAGUCUUGAAUACCGUGGAGGUCAGCGGAAUAUGUCAUGUAGCGGUGAAAUGCUUAGAUAUGACAUAGAACACCAAUUGCGAAGGCAGCUGGCUACACGAGCAUUGACACUCAGGCACGAAAGCGUGGGGGAUCAAACAGG